rnacentral:rRNA from 1 species
CAGAGGUCCCGAGCGUUGUUCGGAUUCACUGGGCGUAAAGGGUGCGUAGGUGGUGAGGUAAGUCGGAUGUGAAAUCUCCGGGCUCAACCCGGAAACUGCAUUGGAAACUACCUUGCUGGAGGAUUUGAGGGGGGAUUGGAAUACUUGGUGUAGCAGUGAAAUGCGUAGAUAUCAAGUGGAACACCAGUGGCGAAGGCGAAUCCCUGGAAAAUACCUGACACUGAGGCACGAAAGCUAGGGGAGCAAACAGGAUUAGAUACCCUGGUAGUCCUAGCCCUAAACGGUGCUUGCUUGCUGUAAGAGGAAUCGACCCCUCUUGUGGCGGAGCUAACGCGUUAAGCAAGCCGCCUGGGAAGUACGGUCGCAAGAUUA